rnacentral:rRNA from 1 species
UACAGAGGGGGCAAGCGUUGUUCGGAAUUACUGGGCGUAAAGGGCGCGUAGGCGGCCUGUUAAGUCGAACGUGAAAUCCCCGGGCUCAACCCGGGAACUGCGUCCGAUACUGGCAGGCUUGAAUCCGGGAGAGGGAUGCGGAAUUCCAGGUGUAGCGGUGAAAUGCGUAGAUAUCUGGAGGAACACCGGUGGCGAAGGCGGCAUCCUGGACCGGCAUUGACGCUGAGGCGCGAAAGCCGGGGGAGCAAACGGG